rnacentral:rRNA from 1 species
AUUGAACGCUGGCGGCAGGCCUAACACAUGCAAGUCGAGCGGAUGAAGGGAGCUUGCUCCUGGAUUCAGCGGCGGACGGGUGAGUAAUGCCUAGGAAUCUGCCUGGUAGUGGGGGAUAACGUCCGGAAACGGGCGCUAAUACCGCAUACGUCCUGAGGGGGAAAGUGGGGGAUCUUCGGACCUCACGCUAUCAGAUGAGCCUAGGUCGGAUUAGCUAGUUGGUGGGGUAAAGGCCUACCAAGGGGACGAGCCGUAACUGGUCUGGAAGAAUGAUCAGGCACGCUGGAACGGAGACACGGUCCAGACUCCUACGGGAGGCAGCAGUGGGGAAUAUUGGACAAUGGGCGAAAGCCUGAUCCAGCCAUGCCGCGUGUGUGAAGAAGGUCUUCGGAUUGUAAAGCACUUUAAGUUGGGAAGAAGGGCAGUAAGUUAAUACCUUGCUGUUUUGACGUUACCAACAGAAUAAGCACCGGCUAACUUCGUG